rnacentral:rRNA from 6 species
UGCCCUUGACUCUGGGAUAAGCCUGGGAAACUGGGUCUAAUACCGGAUAUGACUUCUCAUCGCAUGGUGGGGGGUGGAAAGCUUUUGUGGUUUUGGAUGGACUCGCGGCCUAUCAGCUUGUUGGUGGGGUAAUGGCCUACCAAGGCGACGACGGGUAGCCGGCCUGAGAGGGUGACCGGCCACACUGGGACUGAGACACGGCCCAGACUCCUACGGGAGGCAGCAGUGGGGAAUAUUGCACAAUGGGCGCAAGCCUGAUGCAGCGACGCCGCGUGAGGGAUGACGGCCUUCGGGUUGUAAACCUCUUUCAGUAGGGAAGAAGCCCUCUUUUGGGGGUGACGGUACUUGCAGAAGAAGCGCCGGCUAACUACGUGCCAGCAGCCGCGGUAAUACGUAGGGCGCAAGCGUUAUCCGGAAUUAUUGGGCGUAAAGAGCUCGUAGGCGGUUUGUCGCGUCUGCUGUGAAAGACCGGGGCUCAACUCCGGUUCUGC